ACGAUCCUUACAAAAAAUUUAAUACAAUCCUUAUAAAGGCUUACACGCCUACGAUCCUUACAAAAAAAAAAAAAAUAUUUCCACGAUUCUCACCAACAAACACGAAAAAGAACAGCACAAACUCCACUAAAAUUCCCCAAAACUCUUACUCACCCAGUGUAGUUCGAAAAGUGGAUAGUAAUCACGAGAUGCCUGCAACCGAUGUAGAGAUCAAAACAAAGACAAAGUUGGCUCCAAACUCACCUCUGUACACCUAGC
rnacentral:lncRNA from 1 species